rnacentral:rRNA from 1 species
AGCAGCCGCGGUAAUUCCAGCUCCAAUAGCGUAUAUUAAAGUUGUUGCAGUUAAAAAGCUCGUAGUUGAAUUUCGAGACCGGUUUACUGGUCGUGCUUUUGUACGUACUGGUAUUAUUGGUUUCUCCUUUCUGACGAAUCAUAAUGCCAUUAAUUUGGUGUUUUGGGGAAUCAGGACUGUUACUUUGAAAAAAUUAGAGUGUUUAAAGCAGGCUCACGCUUGAAUACAUUAGCAUGGAAUAACGAAAUAGGACGUUUGAUUUUAUUUUGUUGGUUUCUAGGAUCGACGUAAUGAUUAAUAGGGAUAGUUGGGGGCAUUAGUAUUCAAUUGUCAGAGGUGAAAUUCUUGGAUUUAUUGAAGACUAACUACUGCGAAAGCAUUUGCCAAGGAUGUUUUCAUUAAUCAAGAACGAAAGUUAGGGGAUCGAAGACGAUCAGAUACCGUCGUAGUCUUAACCAUAAACUAU